UACGAAGGGGGCUAGCGUUGUUCGGAAUUACUGGGCGUAAAGCGCGCGCAGGCGGUCUUCCAAGUCAGUGGUGAAAGCCCGGAGCUCAACUCCGGAACUGCCAUUGAAACUGUGAGACUUGAGGAUGAGAGAGGUGAGUGGAAUUCCCAGUGUAGAGGUGAAAUUCGUAGAUAUUGGGAAGAACACCGGUGGCGAAGGCGGCUCACUGGGCUCAGUUUCUGACGCUCAGGCGCGACAGCGUGGGGAUCAAACAGG
rnacentral:rRNA from 1 species